rnacentral:lncRNA from 1 species
UAGUCACUGCUCGAGGACUUGCAUCAUUCUCUCUGUUCAAUGAAUUGCCCCAUAUCUCAACAAAGAUCUACAAUUUUUAAAACAAGAUACAAAUGGAGAAACAACUGAUCUAAACUUUAUUUCCAGCACCUUUCUGAAAGAUAGCUUGUAAUCCAUGUGGUUAACAUUCUUUCAAUCUCAUGCUGAUAUAUUAAUUUCAUAGUUUUAGCAAUAAUGUGUAUUUGCCAAGCACGCAUUCACACACAGCGUUCACUUUUUGGCUGAAGAAACCUUUGUUGCAACAGGCACUGAUGUGGCAGGAGAGGUUGUAGAGGUUGGACCAGGAGUAACAAAUUUCAAAACUGGUGACAAAGUUGUAGCUAUUCUAAGCCACCUUGUAAGUUCUCAUUCAAUAUUCUGGUUUUUUUUAUUUCCUUAUCUUCGUAAUUUUUCAAAUGAUUUACAUUGGUGAGGCGACCUCUAGAUUAUCUUUUUUUGGUUUAAUGGCUAUGUACACAAUUGGGGUCAACCUUACCCUCACUUGCGCCUUAAAUAAUGUAAUAUCAAAUAAGCCAGCUUGCAUCAACACGGCCUGAAGGUUACACGACAUGGAUGACUGGUUAUAAGCUAAAAAAUCAACAUGAAAGGGUUGGGGGUGAUUGGAAGAGUGAGAUAAUAAAAUUGUUGCAUUCAUCAUAUUAGAUAAAGCACAAGUAGAAAAUUGUUUCCAGGUAUUGACAGAGGUAUGAGUCAAUAACAAGUGUGAAUAAUUUAUAGCUAAAUCUGUCUAUUGUGUGAACAGCCAACCUUCAUGCCCUCAAUAUCUUUCAUGAAAGUGAACGGUGAAAUACAACUUUCAUCAAGGACUACUUGUUGUUUCUCUUCUCUAUAGGCAACUUAGUUUCCUCCCCUAAAAAGUAAAAUCAGAUAACUCUGUUUUGGACAUUUGAUCAGCUUCAAUGAAACACAAAAGCGAUACCUUAAUGUCGUCAUUGUAGCUACCUUUUUUGGAAAGAAAACGGGUCAAAGCCCUUGAUGCUUACGAAUAUUUUUUACUAGUUGUAGUUUGCCAACUUGAGGCACAUUAUAGAGGUUAGUUUGCUUAGAUGCCUUGCUCAUGGAUCUUGUAUACCAUUAAGUAUUACAUAGGAGUUUGGAUCUGGGACUUGGCACAUGCUAUCUACUUGGUUGUAAACAUAUGAAAAGUGCAUUUUAGCAUUUGGCAAUCUUAUGUGUAUGGAGGAAUUUUACCAUUGGUCUGUGAAUUUUGUUUCGUUCUGUUUCUUUGUUUAAUUGUUGUGUGUUCUACAAACAACAGAGUGGAGGUGGACUAGCUGAAUUUGCAGUGGCUAAGAAGAGCUUGUCAGUUGCAAGGCCACCUGAAGUUUCAGCAGCUGAAGGUGCAGGCUUGCCUGUUGCUGGGCUCACAGCUCACCAGGCUCUCACUCAAUCUGCUGGGGUCAAGCUUGAUGGAAGUGGUAACCGGAAAAAUAUUCUGAUCACUGCUGCCUCAGGUGGUGUAGGUCACUAUGCAGUUCAGCUUGCAAAGCUUGGAAACACUCAUGUGACUGCCACUUGUGGGGCUCGUAACAUCGAAUUUGUGAAGAGCUUAGGUGCUGAUGAGGUUCUGGAUUACAAAACCCCAGAAGGAGCGGCUCUGAAGAGCCAAUCUGGUAAGAAAUAUGAUGCUGUGAUCCACUGCGCUGCUGGUGUUCCUUGGAGCACUUUUGAGCCAAAUCUGAGUGAAAAUGGGAAGGUUAUAGAUAUCACUCCUGGCCUCAGUGCCAUGAUGACUUUUGCUUUUAAGAAACUUACCUUCUCCAAGAAGCAGCUGGUGCCGCUGCUUUUGAUUCCCAAUGGUGAGAACCUGAAUUAUCUUGUUAAUCUGGUAAAGGAGGGGAAGCUUAAAACAGUCAUCGACUCAAAGCAUCCAUUAAGCAGGGCUGAAGAUGCUUGGGCAAAGAGUAUCGAUGGUCAUGCUACUGGGAAGAUCAUUGUGGAGCCGUGAAUGAAAAUAAUGUGCUUGAAUUGCUAAAAUUUCUGCAACUGUGAGGUCUUUCCUGUACAAUGUGGAUCCGAUGGCAUACACAGCUGAUGAGGCAUUGUAUGAUGCGUGAUCUUGCACAGCAAUUUCUUUUGACUGGAUGUUUCCCUAAAUGAUAGGGUUUGGGUUGAGUUUAUUAACUGUUGAUUAUGUUUGUUAUUCAAUAUCAGAUGCUUCUUUCUUCAUUUUGGUGUUAUUUUAUUUAUUUAAUGACGUGAGACUCACCCUUAUGGGCUAAUUCUAGGUAUAGUUUGUCGUCUAGAGAAUUGAUGUCCAAUAUUGCAGGGGACAUUUCCACUAACUAUAACUAUGAAAAGGUAAAAAAAAUAAAAAGCGAUCACUUAGUUUUGUCCCUUUUUUUUCUCCAUUUAGAGAUAGGAUGAUGAGAGAGAAGGCCCGAAGAGAUUUUAGAGAGAGAAUCAGGCUGCUAGAGUGAUGACUCCGCCACCCGUUGUUGGAUCAGGCUAGUUUAUUAAUAUGUUGCACACCAUGAUAGGAUAUACAAUCUAACUGAUUGAAUUUUAAUAAUCUGUUGUCGUUUGAGAGAUAUCAUUAUUGGUAUUCUAUUGGAAAAAUUGAUUUCAGGGCAGUCGUAUUUGUCAGGUCAGUGCUCCUCUAGUCAUCGUUAGAUCUGCACUAUAUUGCUCAAGGAGAUUCAUCUGAGUAUCCUUUUUGUUCCCAACGGUAGAGAUCAGAUUUGCACAACCCUAGAAUUUUGUGAUUAUUGCUGAAAUUAAUGUUCAAGCAUGAACACUAAUUAUUCAAAAACUAGUUGAUUGGUUCAAAAAAACCUAAAAACCAAUUGACUGGUUCACCCCUCAUACCACUUCCUACACCACCACAGCCACUAAAUUAGACACCAAGAUUGCCCCUAAACCAUCACAGUACCCUAACAUAACAACAACAACAAAUACCAAACAUACCACCACCAACUCCAUCAACUCCAUCAACACAAAAAAUAAACCUCUUCUUUAGACCGGGGUCGAACCAUAAGGAGGUGAACUAUAUAAAUUACAAAUAAUAUAUAUAUUUAAUAAAAUAAAAAGUUUAUGAUAAUUUUAUGGGAUAUUAAUGUAAGAAUUAAACAAUGAUAAAACAAUUGUCAAGGUUAGAGGAUCUACUAAUAGUAUUAGAAAUAAGUAUAGUAUAAACUCUUUUUAUUAAUCAACUGGAAACCACACAUAAAGGAGGUUCCAAUCAGAUGAUUUAUCCUUAAUAGUUCAUUAAAAUUUUUUAACAUGAUCAUAUUAAUUAUCUUAUUUUGGUAACACCAUACUUUUAAAUAUUGUCAAGAAUUCAUGAUGUUAACUUAUGUUAAUAACAAAUCAAGUUCAUUUUAUAGCUAAAAGUGCCAAGCAUUUGUUGUAUCAAGUGUUAUACAACACAAAUCUAGAUUAACCAUUUAAGAAGCAAGGUAUUAAGAAUUAAUAAGAUAAAAAGAUUAAGACAUGUUAAUAACAAACUUUCUUAGAUAUAAACAUUGAAGUCCAUGUUGAGUUUAUAUUAUACAUAUUCUAACACUAUUAGUGAAACCUUUUCACCUUGACAUAAUAAACUUAGCUAAACAUAAUGAAGAAGAGAAACAUAAAUAAACAACAUAAGAACAUAAGUAUAGUAAAGGAAAUGAAAAGCAUAAACAAGAAAUUAAGGAAAAUAUAACAUGAAAUAAAACUUAAACAUUACAAAAAUAUAAGGAAAGAAAUAAAGAGCAUGAUCUUGAUCUGAACAAUCAAGAUGCUUAAAUGCAUGUCAAAUGCCUCCUUUUAUAGGCCAAAAUUUAGACUAUUGAUUUGAUGACUAAUUAUUGAGUGGGUUACCGCAUCUUGACUUGGUGACAAUCAUUAUCUUAUUGUCUGAACAAAAAGUCAUUGAUAUCAUCAGAAUUUGAACAUACUUAACUCAUGAAAGUUCUAGGAAAUUAUCUUAGCUUUUUAGCAAAAAACAAUUGAGGUCAUUUGAACUUCUAGAACUCAAGAUAUGGGUUGAACACUGAACAAUGUCUGGGUUGUAGGACAGAUUCAGACUUCUUUGUCAUUGCUACAAUUUGAACUUGAAAACGAUCUUUUUAAAUCUUGGAAUCCCAUGAAAGUUUUAGGCCUAUGUCUUAUCUUUCCAUCCAUAUAAAGCAGACCUAAAUCAAAGAUCUACAACUCUAGAUAUGACCCAAUUACCAAAUAGUGUUCCAGUUUGGACUGAACCAACAUCUCUUUUCUACGUUUGGCCAUCUCUUUGUCCUUUUAAUUUUAAUACUUAAACUCAUCAAUCAAUCCUUUGAUUUAUGUGAUAGGCCUGCAUUUAAGAUGAAUAUUUACCAUAAAUUAAAGGUAUCUUAUAGUAUCAGACUUGUUAUUAUAAAAUAUGUUUUCAUUAAGGAGUUAUUGAUACUUCAAAUGUAAAAUGAUGAUAUAAAACAUUGAUAAAAAUGCACUUUUAAGUACUAAUCACUUGCCUUUUCCUCUAUGGUCCAAGACGGGCUUGAGCUUGGCGGCUAACAUGGUAGGCAAGUCAUUGUCUUAUGAUGAGCAAACAUACAACUGCACUCACUUGGAAUAUGUGAUAGUUUAUAUAGAGUUUGAUGCAUUGCUCCCUUUCAUAAACUAAUAUGAGAUUGAGAACCCCUUAUAUGAGGAGCCGAUUUCAGUUAAGGUUGAGUAUGAGUGGAAAUUAAAACAAUAUGAGAAAUGUAGUUUGUUUGGCCAUGUUUGUUCAGUUUUAGUUGCACAACCAGCAAGUGAUGAGGGUAAAGGGAAAGUAAUUGAGGCCCCAUCUUUACUAGCUGACUAUGUGUUACAGAUCCAGGGUGUGGGUGAUGCCUUAAUGGUAUGUAGCUUACAUAUUACCACUACAGUUGAAGAUGUUGCCUCUGUCAAGAAAACUAGUCGACCGGUUCAGUAUCAGACAGUCGAUCAAUUUUACCCUCUUCCAUCUUUAAUAGCCAAUGCUUUUUUAACUGGUCAGCCAUAUAAAAAUUUACAGGAAUUGGUCAAUUGGUUUCCUCUACAGACCACACCAGAGGCUGCUAAUCCAAUUGCUUCACCUCUUGUUAUAGAUGAAACCAUUUUAGGUGAUGCUGUUAGACUUGAUUUUGAUUCAAAAAAUGAUAUUCUUCAUGUUGAACAAGAUUAAACAACUUUGAUGGAGAGUGUCCCAUGUUUUGAAAGCAAAACAACUCUCUUGCCAAGCUCAUUGCCCAAACCAAAAGGAUCUCAAGUAAUCUCUACUACUAAAACCCCUUAUGUUGUUCUCUUAGGUACUGAUAUUGGUCAUCAAACUUGGGGUAAAGGGAAGGGAAAAGUGAGGAAAGGGCUUUUAUGGCCUAAUGAGUUCCUUUUUGUUUUGUUUAUCCUUUCUUUAUAUCUAUGUUUAAUAUAGGAAGUUGGAAUAUAUGGAGACUUAAUAGGCCCUAAAAAAAGUUAAAAACUACACUCUUAAGUAUAAUCUUGGUAUUAUUGGACUGUUGGAGACUAAGAUUGCUAUGGCUAAUAUGGGUGUAGUUAAAUUGGGUCUUGCACUAUCUUCUUGGACUUUUCUUUCUAAUGUUAGUGUUUACUCUAGAUGUCGUAUUCUAGUGGGUUGGGAUCCUUUUCGAUAUAGUCUUUCUUGUGUUCAUACUACUGAGCAGUGGGUUACCUGUGAUGUUAUUAUUCUCCUUUUUUAAUAUUUCUUUUAGUGUGACUUUUAUUUAUGGCUUAAAUACACCUACCAGAUGUAGGCUUCCAUGGGAUUGUAUUUGUCAACAAACUCUUUUUUUUUUCUUCCAUACUAUGGGUUUUGAUGGGGGAUUUUAGUGCCAUUUUGAGAUCUGCUGAUAAAUCAGACGAAAAUAGAACUUGGUAUAACACACACACACACACAUGCACGCGCACACACACACACAUAUAUAUAUAUAUAAUGAUUUGUGUUGUUGUAUCCAUGAUUUAGAGCUAGUACAUGUACCUUAUACAAGUUGAAGUUCUUAUGGUAUAAUGGUCAAUAAGGAAGGGAUGCUAUUUUGAAGAAAUUAGAUUGGAUUUUUGUUAACCUUUCACUCUUUGUUUUUUUCCUCCUUGGCUGAAUGCUUACUUUUUUGGAUAUGGUAUGAUUGGUUUGGCAAUUAAAGGUUAGUGGCAACCCUAUUUACAUAUUCAUUUCCAAGCCCUGCUUACUAAAGCCUAAGCUUAGGACCUUGCAUUGUCAUCAUACUAGUCAUAUAUAUAGUAGGGUGACUAAGGCAAAGAACCAAUGCAAUAAAAAGGUUUUGCUUUAUGAAACAUUUCCGGGAAGCUUUUUAUUGCUGAAAGGGAUCUUGUUAGAAUAUACCUUCAGUUAUGCUAGGAUGAGAAGGCCUUUUACAAAUAGUGGUCUAAGGUUUAGUGGCUUUAGCUUGGUAAUAGGAAUACUAAGUUCUUCCAUAGAUCUCUGAUCCACAGGUAGAUUAGGAACAUGAUUUAUAAGUUAACUAAUGAGGCAAGGAUUAAGGUUCAUGAUCAGCAGGGUCUUAGUCAGUUAGCAGUUCAUUACUUUCAAAACCUCUUAGCAGCCCCUAUAUUCUCACAUGAUAUGGAUGUCUCUAGGUAUUAUUCAUCUACAAUCUCUAAUGCUUUGUUGCCUAUCUUAGAGAUGGAUUUUACAGAUGAGGAAAUUAAGGUAACCUUGUUCUCCAUACCGGAUGACGCACUUUGGCCAGAUGGCUUCACCUAUUUGUUCUUCAAAAAAAGUUGGGCUAUUAUUAGGGUGGAUCUCAUAGCUUCAAUCUAGUAUUUCUUUGAUCAUUGCAAUCUUUCCAGGUGUAAAAAUGCUAUUAGAAUUGCUUUAGUGCCUAAGGUUGAGAACCCAAAUAAUAUGAAUGACUUUAGACCUAUAUCUUAUUGUAAUGUUAUAUAUAAGUGUAUCUCUAAGAUCAUCAUGAGCAAAUUAAAGCAAAUGUUACCUGAUACGAUUGGUCUUUCUCAAUAUGCUUUUAUUAUGGAAAGAUAUAUUUCAGAUUCUAUUUUGUUGACUAAGAAGCUCAUGGAUAAUUAUCACCUGGAUAGUGGCCCAAGUAGAUAUGCUCUAAAAUUGGAUCUUAUAAAGGCUUUUGACAUAAUUAGUUGGCAUUUCAUCUUUAUAGGACUCAGAGUUAUUGGCAUUCUGAAUUGUAUGGUUAGAUGGAUCCAAGUUUGUCUCUCUUUAGCUACCAUUUCCAUUACAUUGAAUGAACUAUAUGAGUUCUUUCUGUCUUUAAAGGCUUUCAGCAGGGUGACCCUUUUUUCUUCCUAUCUUUUUAUACUAGCUAUGGAAGCUUAAGAGGAUUAUUAGAAAGGCCACUCAAGACCUCAAGUUUUGGUUUAAUUGGAAAUGUAAGUAGAAUUUUAUCACCUAUAAUUGUUUUGCUGAUGAUCUUAUGGUAUCAUGUCAUGCUGAUAUAGACUUGGUGGGUAUUUUAUGAGGAGCUUUGGAUGCCUUUGUUGGGCUUUCUAGAUUAGUUAAUAACUAGGAUAAGAGUUUUGUCUACUUAUCAUGGGUGGAUGACGACCUAAGAACUACUUUUUAGGAUCAUCUAGGGCUUAAGUUAGGAGCUUUGUUGGUUAAAUAUCUUGGUGUCCUUUUGAUCACAACCAUAUUGACUCAUAAUAAUUGUAAACCUCUAAUAGAGUGGAUUAUCUCCAAGAUCAAGCUUUGAACAUCAACAUCCCUUAUUUAUGUUGGUCGUCUUCAGCUGAUCAAAUUCGAUCUUUUCUUCAUUCAGGUAUACUAGUAUACUAUAUUUAUCUUACCUUGCUUUAUUAUUAGGUGGAUUGAGAGUAUUCUAGCUGCUUUCCUUUAAAAGGGUUUCUUUCUCACCUACUCUUGGACUAGGGUUGUAUGGGCCUCAGUUUUCUACCCUCUAAAAGAGGAGGGGGGAUUAAGGGUUAAAAAGGCCAAGACUUGAAAUAGAGCAGUUAUUCUAAAGCAUGUAUACUAGUUCUUUUCAAAUAGCUUCUCGAUAUGUGCAUAAUGGUUCAUAUAUAUUUGCUUCGAGGGAGAUCCUUUUGGCAUAUUAAACUUACCUCAGCUACUUCAUGGUCCUGGAGGAAGAUUUUACUUAGUAGAGACUGAUGUAAGGGGUGUUUGUUUCUUGCAUUGGCAACGAUAUGAGUAUAUCUCUUUGGUUGGACUACUGGUUGACAUAUAAGAGAUGAUUAUGUAAUCUUCUACAUGGUUUCAUUAGAAUGCAAAGGUUGACACGACCAAAAGAUUGAUGUCUUCUUCCAAGUACAGGAGUGUCGAAGUAAUAAAUAACCCGGCAAGACCGGGGUCGAACCACAAAGAGGUUAAUUGUAUAAAUUAUAAAUAACAAUACAACAACAACAACAACAAUAAUAAUAAUAAUAAUACUCAGUAUGUGGCGUUGUUAUACCUGAGAAUGAUCUAAAAGAUAAUAAUAAUAAUAUAAACAGAUUUCUGAUGCGAAUGAACAAGGCAAUACCAACAAUGUCAGGAUCCUUGAUCAAUCACAGAGCAUACUUAACGUACAUAAAAUAUAACAAGAAUGUAAAUAAUAAUAAUAAUAAUAAUAAUAAUAAUAAUAAUAAGAUGAAGAAAUUAAUGAGAACUUUGAGAUGGAAGAUUAAUGUAAGAAUUAAACAAUGAUAAAAACAAAUGUCAAGGUUAGAGGAUUCACUAAUAAUAUUUCAAACAAGAAUAGUAUAAACUCUUAUUACUCAACUUGGAAACCACACAUGAAGGAGGUUCCAAUAGGAUGAUUUUUCAUUAAUAGCUGAUUAUAAAUUAUUAACAUGAUCAUAUUAAUUAUCUUAUUUAAGUAACACCAAACUUUUAAAUAUUGUCAGGAAUUCAUGAUGUUAACUUAUAUUAACAACAAAUCAAGUUCCUUUCAUAACACAGGUGUAGGUAAUACCAUACGGUUGCGCUAUGAGAGUGUCAAGCAUUUGUUGUACCAAGUGUUAUACAACACAAAUCUAAAUUAACUAUUUAACAAGGUAUUAAGAAUUAGUAAGAUAAAAAGAUAAGACAUGUUAAUAUUAAACAUUAAGGUCCAUAUUGAGUUUACACUAUACUUAUUCUUACACUAUUGGUGUAACAUUUUCACCUUGACAUAAUAAACUUAGCUAAACAUAAUGAAGAAGAGAAACAUAAAUAAACAAAACAAGAACAUAAAGAAAAUACAAGUUAACUAAGUAAAGGAAAGGAGAUGAAAAGCAUAAACAAGAUAUUAAUGAAAACAAAACUUAAGAAUUACAAAAAAUAUAAAGAGAGAGAUAAAGAGCAUGUUCUUGAUCUGAACAAUCAAGCCCCUAAAUACAUGGAAAAUGCCUCCUUUUAUAGGCCAAAAUUCAGAAUUAUUGAUUUGAUGACUAAUUAUUGAGUGGGUGGCCAACUCUUGACUUUGUGAAAAUCCUUAUCUUCUUGUAUGAAUACAACGAAAUUACUAUAAUCAGAAUUGGGACCACUUGAAAACAUGAAAGGUGUAGGAAAUUGACUCAGCUUUCCAGGAAAAAAAAUAGAGGUCAUUUGGACUUCUAGAACUAUAGAUAUGGGCCAAACACUAACCAAUGUUCGGGCUGCAGGACAAAUUCGGACUACUCCGUUGUUGCUAUAAUUUGGACUUGCAAACGGCCUUCUUAGAUCUUGGUGUCCACAUGAAAGUUGUAGGCCUAUGUCUUACUGAAUUUGUUUAAAAAUUUGAGAUCAUUUUGACAUCUAGAACUCGAGAUAUGACUCAAUUACCAAACAGUGUUCCAGUUUGGACUGCACCAACAUCUCUUUUCUAAGUUUGGCCCUCUCUUUGUCCUUUCAAUUUUCAUACCUGAACUCAUCAAUCAAUCCUUUGAUUUAUAUGAUAGGUCUGCAUUUAACAUGAACAUUUACCAUAUAUUAAGGCAUUUUAUAGUAUUAGACAUGUUAUUAUAAAACAUGCUUUAGUUAAGGAGUUAUUGAUACUUUAAGUGCAAAAUGAUGAUAUAAAACCUCGAUAAAUAUGCACUUUUAAGUACUAAUCAAAGGUCUUAGUAUUAAAUACUUUAAUGGGGUUGCUAAAUCUUAACACAAAUUUUCUACAUAACGAAACCCUAAGGACUAAUACAAUAAAAUAGUUCCAGAAAUCCCUGAAUUGAAUGUUGAAAUUGAAAAAAAUAAAUAAAAAAUUUCAUUAAUUUGAAUGUUCCUAAAAAACUUUUACAUUGAAUUAACUCCUUCAAGCUCGACAAUUGAAUAAAAAAGGGUUAUUAUAAUUUUGAGCAAGUCGUCAUGGUGAAAUCUGUAGACAUGCCGCUCUUCGAAAGCAAUGCUAGAGCAUCUCAAUUCGAGUUCGAGUGGUGGCAUAAUAUUUUUAAAUUAUCUAAUUAUUAAAAAGAUAGAAUAAAUUAUAUAAUGAAUUCAAUUUCGUAUGUAGAAUUAUAGAUACAUGAUUGUUAGUUAUUCAUUGUAUUUAUUUAAGAUAUUUACCAAUAAAUGAUGUAUACAAAUCAUUAAUAUUUCUUUCAUGGAUUUUCACUAUUAUUCAUAUGGUUUCAUAUUUUUAAGCACAAUAACAACACAAAGUACUUUUUUAACCCAAGGAUUUGCUACUUGGGGUCUUUAACUAACAUGCAUUAAUCUAAAAUCUUAGUACUAGCUCUCCAAUCCUAGUUGUUAAUAAUGCACGUAGGUAUGAUGCUAUCAGACUAUGCAACUCUUUUAUAUGGAUCAUUAUUAUCAGUAGUACUUCUAAUAAUUACAUUUCAAAAAGUAAUAAGAGUUGUUGGCAAAAACAAUAAUUUAUGAAAUGAUUCAUUUCCUGUUGAUGAGAUCCAAUUCAUGAUGGAAAAAAAUAAUUUUUAAAAAUAAUUUUUUUCCUUCUUCUAGGAAUCAUUACAGGUUUCAAUUAGUUCAACAAUUAGAUAAUUGAGGUUUUUGUAUUCUUAGUAUAGGGUUUUUUUUUUUAAACCAUAGGUAUUCUUUCAAGAGCAGUUUGGGCUAAUGAAGCAUGAGGAUUAUAUUGGAAUUGGAACCCGAAAGAAACUUGGGCAUUUAUUACUUGAACCAUAUUCGUGAUUUAUUUCCAUACUCAAACAAAUAAAAAUUUGAAAGGUUUAAAUUCUACAAUUGUCGCUAUUAUCGUUUUCUUAUAAUCUGGAUAUUCUAUUUUGGGGUUAAUUUAUUAAGAAUAGGACUACAUAAUUAUGAUUAUUUACAUUAAUAUCUAAUUGAAUUGAAGAAAGAGUUUGACAAGUAUAACCAUAUAUAUAUAUAUAUAUAUAUUUCGUUUGGUAUUUAUCCGGAUUUCAUUUUCUCAUUAUCAGUUCCCAUGGUUAAAGCUAUUCUAUAUAUAUUCGGAUUCAUUAUUCCUUGAUUUCUAUUUCUUUCAAUUUUUUCAAUCAAUUUUACUCUAUAUUUUUCUUUUCCCUCUUUUUAAUGCUUGCCAAUGAUUGCUUUUUCUUCUCCUUUUUUUUCCCUGACUUAUUUAAUACUUUUUUCACUCAUUUUAUUUUGAUAUAUUUAUUUAUUUUUAUCAUUCAUUUUCCACUCACUUAUUUUUUUUAAUUUUAUUUUGUUUAAAAGAUUGAUAUAAAAAAUAAACUAAUGUGCUACAAAAAUAUGAAAUGACUGUAAUGUUGAAAAAUUGAUCAAAUUGCAUUGAAAAGGUAUUUUCAUAGAAGUUUUGUAAUUUUUUUACUUGAAAAUAUAUUGAAAAAAUAAGGGUAAAAAAUACUCAAAAAUUGUAUUUUUUUUAUAAUACUCAUAGCAUGAAGACAUUGGAGAACUCAUUUUUCUUUAGCUUGUUUAGUAAGUUUGCAAAGAAAAGAAAAAUAAUGCAAGAAAAGAAAAAUAUUUUUGUAUUUUAAAGUUUUGUGUGCAAUAAUUAUAGAAUGAAAAUAAAAAUGAUUAUAUAAAAAGAUGACCCUAAAUUUAAAAGGAUCAAGUUGAGAGGUGACCAAGUAAGAAAAACCAUCUUGAUUGCAGGAUUUGGUUUGGUAUACUUAAUUGGAGGGUUAAGUCGUAUUAUUUUAGGAUUCGACUCAAGAUGUUAUUAUAAUAGGUUGAGCCUUAUAAUUGCAGGGUAUAUUGAACUUGAUAUCUACUUAUACCUCUUUUUUUAUAUCAUCAUGAGAAAACAAAAUAGAUAAUUAGAGAUAAAUUAAAAUAUGGCUAGUUUAUAGAGUAACCAACUCGAAUGAAUUUUUAUUAUGUCAUUUUAUAAAGUGAUGAAGUCAAAGUAAUUUUUAUCAUAUCAUUUUGUAAAGUGAUGAAGUUGAAGUGAUUUUAUUAUGUUAUUUUGUAAAGUGAUGAAGUUGAAGUGAUUUUAUUAUGUUAUUUUAUAAAGUGAUGAACUUGAGGUAAUUUUUAAUAUGUCAUUUUAUAGAGUGGCAAACUCGAAGAGGUUUUCAUAAUGUCAUUUUAUUAAAUGAUGAACUGAGAGAGAUUUUUAUCAUGUUAUUUUAUAGAGUGACAAACUCGAAAUGGUUUUCAAUAUGUGAUUUUAUAGAAUAAAGAGCUUGAAUGAAUUUUUACCAUGUCAUUUUAUAGAGUAACAUACUCAAAGUUGUUUUUCAAUAUGUCAUUUUAUAAAUGAUGAACUCAAAGUGAUUUUAAAAAUAAAAUCAUUGUAUAUAGUCAUUGUAUAUAGUGUCGAACUCGAAGUGAUUUUCAACAUGUUAUUUUAUAUAGUUAUAAGCUCUAAGGAUUUUCAACAUGUCAUUUUAUACAAUGAUAAGCAUUACUUAAAAUCAAAAAGGGAUAAAAUUGAGAGGUGACUAAUCUAGACAUAAAAUUAAAUGGAUCAAAUUAAAAGGCAACCAACCUCAACAUAAAAUUAAUAAAUCAAAUCGAGAGCAGAUCCAACUUUAUUAUGAAAAAAAUUAUUUUUUUUUUGAAAAUUCUAUAAUUGGAACAAAUUAUGAAAAAGCAUUCAACUCGAACAAAUUAAAAACUAAAAUUGACAAGAGCUUUUACCAACCCAAAACAAGUUAGAUAAUAAAUAUUUUGCAAAGCACUUGGCUCAAAAAAGAUUGUUCCAAAGGUUGAAGGUUAUACUUGUAACCUCAACUUAUUCUAGUUUUAGUUUUUACUAGUACCUCUUGAAGUUAAGGAAAAACACAAGUUAUAUAUAUUGAAAGCUCAAUCUUUCUUGACAUCAUCUAUAUCUUUAAAGAUUUUUAAAUUGGAAGUAUACUUGUCAUUAUCUCAAGUGUAGUUUAAGCUUAUCUUUCUACUAUUCAUUUUUUAUUAUUUUAUUGAUGUUGUUAUCUCUUUUUACUCUUAGCUUGUAAUAAAGUUUUUCAAGUAAUCAUUCAAGAAACCCUAAAAACAGUCUUAAAAUAUAAAAUCAAAUCGGGUUAGAUUUUUUUUCCUCGACUUCAAUCUAAUCUUUAGGUAAUAUUGAGAUUUUAAACAACCAUAAUCAAUUUACUUUCUAUAAUAGAACUCAUGUACACCCUAUAAAUUAAUUUAGUAGCUGAAAUAUAUGAGAACAUCAAUUUUAUUUCUCUAUGUAGGAAUUCGAUAAAACUUUCUCUCUCCCUCACAAACUAGAAACUUGAAAAUAAUAAAAAAUAAAGUUUUGUGUUAAAAUUGAAUUAAAAAAAAACAUAAGAGACUGGACAACUAAGAAUUUUAAAAUUGAAGAACUAAAUUGUAUUUUUCAUACCAUCUUUAAACACAUCACCUAUUUUUGACGGAAUUUUUAUGUUGGUCAUCUUUCUGUUAACUUUUUCUUCAAGUAUAUUUGUUAUGUCAUUUGUGACACAGUAGGUCUCUGUCCUAUCUCUCUAUUAGUUUAACCGCGAAGCCACACCUGCUCUCCUGCCAGUUCCUUUUACAUUAUGCUACUUUACUUCUCUUCUGUCCGUGCCCAGCCUCGUUCCUUCUGUUUCUCUGAUAACAACAGCGUCGCUUCUAUUGGACAUGGCAGGGAAGUUGAUGCAUGCCGUUCAAUAUAGCAGUUAUGGUGGAGGCGCCGCUGGUUUAAAGGUUAAUUGUUUUUUAACCAAAUUUCCACUUUUUGUUAGUGUAAUUGGAUGUCCCUUUUCUUUGAUGAACAUUUAGAUAGUUGGUAAUUGUUGAAAUAUGGAGAUGAAUUAUAGAUUGUUGCCCCCGUUUGUUUUUGUUUCUAAAUUAAAUAAUAAUAAUAAUAAUGGAUUAGAUGUGAUGUGAGGUUUGCUUUAAUUUUUGGUAAAAGUAGCCAAAUGAAAAGGCAUUGAUGCACCUACUGUGAGUUACUACUAUUAUAUAAUUAGUUUUGCUUGUUGCAGAAUGUUGAGGUUCCAGUCCCUAGUGCCAAGAGAGACGAGGUUUUGCUCAAGUUAGAAGCAACUAGUCUAAACGCAGCUGAUUGGAAGAUACAGAAAGGCAUCUUGCGCCCCGUUUUCCCUCGGAGAUUCCCUUACAUCCCUGGUGAUUCACUUCUUUCUUUAUGUGGAUUUUUUGUGUACAAUCUAAUUCAGACACUAUCUUACUGCUUGUUGGGGCUUUUAAUUAUACAUAAAUUCCGCCAUAUAGCCUAAUCCACAAGGAAAUUGUUCUUUGUAAUGUUAGUUGAUUGCAUGAUUUUCUUCCUUUAGGUGCUUAAGCAUGAUUUUGAUUUUGAUUUAAGUUUGUGACGGUGUGGUGUUGCAUCUAAGAAACUUUGGAAAUGAGCUUUGUUGUUCCUUUGUUUAACAUUCAGAAUGCGGGAACUUGGAAACUGACAUGCCUUCGUAAUUUUUUUUAUGGUAUAUGACAACGCAAUGCAAUAAUCUAUGCUUACCAUUUCAAACGUUUGCCUUCAGUUCAGUUAUGUCAAAGUUUUGGGAAUUUGUGUUUGGGUGUUGUUUGGCAGAAGGUUUCCUUUCCAUAGCUUGUAAACUUUUUUAAAACAAGUUAAAAAUGGAGAAACAACGGUUCUAAACUUUAUUUCCAGCACCCUUCUGAAACAUAGCUUGUAAUCCAUGUGGUUAAUAUUCUUUCAAUCUCAUGCUAAUAUAUUAAUUUCAUAGUUUUAGCAAUACUGUGUGUUUGCCAAGCACACAUUCACACACACACAUCGCGUUUACUUUUUGGCUGAAGAAACCUUUGUCGCAACAGGC